AUUGAACGCUGGCGGCAUGCCUAACACAUGCAAGUCGAACGAGUGGCGGACGGGUGAGUAAUGUCUUGGAACCUGCCUGAUGGAGGGGUCUAACUACUGUAAACGUUAGCUAAUACCGCUUACCAUCAGUUGUGCCCAGAGGGGUUUAGCUUGUUGGUGUGGAAACGGCUCACCAAGGCGACGAUCCCUAGCUGGUCUGAGAGGAUGACCAGCAACACUGGAACUGAGACACGGCCCAGACUCCUACGGGAGGCAGCAGUAGGGAAUAUUGGGCAAUGGGCGCAAGCCUGAUGGAGCCAGGCAGCGUGUGUGAAGAAGGCCUUCGGGUUGUAAAGGACUUUCAGCGGAGAGGCGUUACCCAAAGAAGAAGCAACGGCUAACUCCGUGCCAGCAGCCGCGGUAAUAC
rnacentral:rRNA from 1 species